GCUGGACCCGGUGUGCCCCUCCUGAGACUAGACUCUGGAUCCGCCCCUGGUGUACAUAGAGGUGCAAACUCACAAUAGCAGGACAUGAUGUAGAUGUCUGCAGAAGUGAGGGGCCAAAAGAAGACUCGGAAGUCAUCAGAAGAAGUAAUC